rnacentral:lncRNA from 1 species
CCCCCUUUGUUGCUCAAGCCUUGCAUUCUCUCAGUCUAGCCGAAGUCUAGCCAGAAAGAAAAGGAACGUUUCUUCCCGGUAGCCCUUCCUCCAGGCCCAGGAUUCCUUCAUCAGGCUUUGACCAUUUGGAUCAGGUCCUCACCCCCGCACUGAGGCGGGGCAUGCAGGGCACUGAUUCACCCAGCCUGGGUCACGUGCUUCUGGCCUGGCAACACCUGGAUUGAGUGGGAAGGACCUGGUUCCUCCUAAGGCAUCAAGGUGCUGCUUUAAACAGAAGGGAGGAUGCAUGAUGGUACAGUAAUCACAGUAAUAGAUGCCCACUGCCCUGAGCGGGUGCAGUAAGCACAGUAAUAGAUGCCCAUUGCCAUGAAGGGUGAACUGAGCACAGUAAUAGAUGCCCACUGCCCUGAGUGGGUGAAGUAAGCACAGUAAUAGAUGCCCACUGCCCUGAGCUGGUGCAGGAAGCACAGUAAUAGAUGCCCAUUGCCAUGAAGGGUGAACUGAGCACAGUAAUAGAUGCCCACUGCCCUGAGUGGGUGAAGUAAGCACAGUAAUAGAUGCACACUGCCCUGAGCGGGUGAAGUAAGCCCAGUAAUAGAUGCACACUGCCCUGAGCGGGUGAAGUAAGCCCAGUAAUAGAUGCACACUGCCCUGAACGGGUGAAGUAAGCCCAGUAAUACAUGCACACUGCCCUGAGUGGGUGAAGUAAGCCCAGUAAUAGAUGCACACUGCCCUGAGGGGGUGAAGUAAGCCCAGUAAUAGAUGCACACUGCCCUGAGCGGGUGAAGUAAGCACAGUAAUAGAUGCCCACUGCCCUGAGCGGGUGAAGUAAGCCCAGUAAUAGAUGCACACUGCCCUGAGCUGGUGAAGUAAGCACA